CAGCAGCCGCGGGAACACGUAGGGUGCAAGCGUUAAUCGGAAUUACUGGGCGUAAAGCGUGCGCAGGCGGUUUGUUAAGACAGAUGUGAAAUCCCCGGGCUCAACCUGGGAACUGCAUUUGUGACUGGCAGGCUAGAGUAUGGCAGAGGGGGGUGGAAUUCCGCGUGUAGCAGUGAAAUGCGUAGAUAUGCGGAGGAACACCGAUGGCGAAGGCAGCCCCCUGGGCCAAUACUGACGCUCAUGCACGAAAGCGUGGGGAGCAAACAGGAUUAGAUACCCCAGUAGUCCCUGUCUCUUAUAC
rnacentral:rRNA from 1 species